GAAGUCUUCCGGCAGCUCAAGAGAGGGACGCGCGGCACGCUCUGCGUCAUGGCUGCCGACAGUGACGAUGGCGCAGCUUCAGCUCCAGCGGCCUCAGACGGUGAGCGACUUCCCAAGGGCCGCUCUAGAAGUUUAUGUGCUCUGGGGGAGGGGAAGACCUCGGGCUGGUUGAUAGAGACAGACCUUAACCUUCAGAAAAGUAACUCCUUUCUUCGGAAGCAGCCACGAGCCGCGCGCUCAGCUGCAAAGCUUGGGAGUGUUGGGAACGUAGGGCUGGUGGGGCCUGUCGGGAGGUGUGGUCUGGAUGGAACUCUUGUGAUUUGUUUAAAUGGGGCAAGUUACACGUGGUGGUCGAAAGGAAGUAGGACGUAUUGAGAGCUCUGGUGUGGGCCAAUAUUUAUCAGGCGAUGGGGCAUGCUAGGAACAGCUUGUGGCUGCGGGGGCCACCAUAAGAACAGUAGUGAGGCGCCUUAAGGGAGUUUAAGGGAACUCAUCCUCAAACCCUGCGAAAUAUUGACUAAAGGGAGCGGGAAAAGAAACCUCGAAUACCUUGUUUACCUUUCUACUGAUUUAUGCUGAGGAGGAAGUCUUACUUUAAAGACUUUCCCCAAAUUCAGGGCACUGUCCAUUCCAGUGAAGCACUUUGGACAUAAAGGUUUAAGAGAAAAGCUAACAUCGGAACCCAACCCCUAUGGCUAGCUUGGUGUCUGUUCCCCUGGGAGCAUGCACAUUGAUCACCAUUCUUAUACCCAGGUUGUAUCAACAAAUGCCCAAAAUCUGGGGAUGAGUUAAUCCAGGUUCCUGUGGUGGAUGUGCAAAGUGACAACUUCAAGGAGAUGUGGCCAUCCCUCUUGUUAGCCAUAAAGACUGCUAGCUUUGUGGCUGUGGACACGGUAUGAGAUGGGAAACAGGGAGGACAGGUGGUUUUGAAGGGACUGGUACUGGGGGGCCACUCACAGCCCUUCCUUAAUCUACCCAUAGGAACUGAGUGGGCUUGGAGACAGAAAGAGUUUGCUGAACCAGUAAGUAUUAAAUCUUUAGUUCCAGCCCUGGCAGGAGGGGCAGAUAUCAACCCUGGAGUGUGUGGGGAGUCACAGUCCUGGAUGGUUUGGUUCUUUCAUGAAGUAAUUCAGCCAUAACUGCCCUCAAAACCAACCCCAAGGUGCAUCGAGGAACGUUACAAGGCUGUAUGUCAUGCUGCUAGGACCCGUUCUAUCCUCUCCUUGGGCCUUGCUUGCUUCAAGCUGCAGCCUGACAAGGUAGGAGCUGUCUCACUCCUGUCCCAAGUUUGUGGCUGUUGGGAGGAGGGUUGAGUUGCAGGGGAAUCAGGUGUGAGGAUUUCUUCUUCCAAAUCUUGAUAUAACAUAUCUUUCUCUUUCAGGGUGAACACUCUUACCUGGUCCAGGUGUUCAAUCUCACCCUGCUGUGCAUGGAGGAAUAUGUUAUAGAACCAAAGUCUGUGCAGUUCCUGGUGCAGCAUGGCUUCAACUUUAAUCGCCAGUAUGCCCAAGGCAUACCCUACCAUAAGGGCAAUGACAAGGUAGGACUUCAGCUUCCUUAACCUUGAGUCUGGCGCUCAAGUGACUUUAUUUCUUCCUACCCUAGGCUAGAUGCCGGAGAAGAAUUUGCUUAUGUGAGUAUGGGAAAUAACUAAUGACAAUAUGGGAAAACAAGACAAAUUAAUACAAGGGUGGGUGACAUCGGAUUAGAUAACAAGGGAAAAUUUUCCAGGUGGGGAAACCUGGGAUUAAUGUCCUGUAGAGGAGUCUAUCUGACCCCUUCCCUUCCACCUAGGGUAAUGAGAGCCAGAGCCAGUCAGUACGGACACUGUUCCUGGAGAUAAUUCGGGCCCGUCGGCCCCUUGUGCUGCAUAAUGGCCUUAUAGACUUGGUGUUCCUGUACCAGAACUUCUAUGCACACCUGCCUGAAAGCCUGGGAACCUUCACUGCUGACCUUUGUGAGAUGUUCCCGUCAGGCAUUUAUGAUACCAAAUAUGCUGCUGAGUUUCAUGCCCGCUUCACGGCCUCCUACUUAGAAUAUGCAUUCCGGAAAUGGUGAGGGAAUGGUUGAGGGAAAAGGGUGGGGCCUAGUAUGAGUCUGUUUCAUUCACUUAAGAUGUUUGUCAAGCACUUACCAUGUGCUAGGCACUGUUUUAAGAUUCAGCAGACAAAAAUCCCUGUUCUCUUUGAUCUAGUGGACCAAUACCUUCUUGCACUUUUGUAGUGAGCGGGAAAAUGGGAAGCAGCGGGCAGGUGGCAACCCACACCUUACCCUGGAGUUCUGCAGCUAUCCUUCUAGCAUGAGGGCUCAUAUUGACUAUCGCUGCUGCAUGACCCCUGCAACUCACCGUCCUCAUCCCACCAGUAUCUGUGACAACUUCUCGGUGAGACCACUUGCUCAUUUUCUGGGGGAGGGGAAGUUCUGAUAUUUGAAACUCCUUUAUAUAAGCCCUCUUUCCUACCUCUAGGCCUAUGGCUGGUGCCCCAUGGGACCACAGUGUCCUCGGUCCCAUGAUAUUGAUCUUAUCAUUGACACUGAUGAGGCUGUGAUAGAGGAUAAGCGGCGGCGGCGACGACGUAGGGAAAAACGUAGAAGGGCUUUGUUGAGCCUGCCUGGGACACAGACCUCCGGGGAAGCUGAGGAUGGUCCUCCCACAAAGCAAGUCCAUGGGGACCUAAAGGCUGAGGAAAUUGAUCAGAAAGUGGCUGAGGUUGAUAAAAAGGACCAGCCUGGCUCUGAUCAAGAUCACAAAAAUGACUUGGAGAAGGAGCUUAAAGCAACAAGGUAUGAAACUACUGACAUGGCUACCUCAGAAGUGCCAGGGGGCCAAGCCAGUCUUAACCCAGUGCCUGGGGAUGGAUUGCACCGGGCUGGUUUUGAUGCCUUUAUGACAGGUUAUGUGAUGGCCUAUGUGGGAGUGAUCCAGGGACCACAGUCCUGCAGCUCUGAACCCUGGCUACCCGAAUGUCACAACAAGGUAUAUCUGAGUGGCAAAGCUGUCCCCCUCACAGUGGCCAAGAGCCAGUUCUCUCGUUCCUCCAAAGCCCACAAUCAGAAGAUGAAGCUGGCUUGGGGCAGCAGCUGACCCAAUUUAUUCAGCCCAGGAAGAAAAGCUGAGAGUAGAAGGAGUUGUUUGGGUCUCUCUAGCCUGUGAAUGUCACACUCAACUACACAGAGUUAAGGUGGGAGAGCCUAACAGAUACUGGCUGCAUUGCCCCUGGACCUUUUCCUUUACCCCAGAGGCUGAGGUAUGAGGGUACAAGUAAGAAGGCUGACCAGCACCUGCAACACCAACUUUAUUUUUAAAUCUGAAAGUGUCUUGGAAGAGUUUUACCAAAAAAUCAACAGAAACGAGUUAUGAAAAUAUUUGACCAACU
rnacentral:lncRNA from 1 species